UGGCGGCGUGGUUAAGACAUGCAAGUCGAACGAGAGAAUUGCUAGCUUGCUAAUAAUUCUCUAGUGGCGCACGGGUGAGUAACACGUGAGUAACCUGCCCCCGAGAGCGGGAUAGCCCUGGGAAACUGGGAUUAAUACCGCAUAGUAUCGAAAGAUUAAAGCAGCAAUGCGCUUGGGGAUGGGCUCGCGGCCUAUUAGUUAGUUGGUGAGGUAACGGCUCACCAAGGCGAUGACGGGUAGCCGGUCUGAGAGGAUGUCCGGCCACACUGGAACUGAGACACGGUCCAGACACCUACGGGUGGCAGCAGUCGAGAAUCAUUCACAAUGGGGGAAACCCUGAUGGUGCGACGCCGCGUGGGGGAAUGAAGGUCUUCGGAUUGUAAACCCCUGUCAUGUGGGAGCAAAUUAAAAAGAUAGUACCACAAGAGGAAGCGACGGCUAACUCUGUGCCAGCAGCCGCGGUAAUACAGAGGUCUCAAGCGUUGUUCGGAAUCACUGGGCGUAAAGCGUGCGUAGGCUGUUUCGUAAGUCGUGUGUGAAAGGCGCGGGCUCAACCCGCGGACGGCACAUGAUACUGCGAGACUAGAGUAAUGGAGGGGGAACCGGAAUUCACGGUGUAGA
rnacentral:rRNA from 1 species